CCGUCUACAGGUGACAAGUGCCUACGAGUACAUAGAGCUUCGCUUUAACCGCGUUGUUCGCCUGAUGGGGACAUGCGUGUUUCUUGUGAGCACGUUCCUCUACAUGGCCGUUG